rnacentral:rRNA from 1 species
UGGGGAAUCUUGGACAAUGGGGGCAACCCUGAUCCAGCCAUGCCGCGUGAGUGAUGAAGGCCUUAGGGUCGUAAAGCUCUUUCGCCUGUGAAGAUAAUGACGGUAGCAGGUAAAGAAACCCCGGCUAACUCCGUGCCAGCAGCCGCGGUAAUACGGAGGGGGUUAGCGUUGUUCGGAAUUACUGGGCGUAAAGCGCACGUAGGCGGACCAGAAAGUUGGGGGUGAAAUCCCGGGGGCUCAACCCCGGAACUGCCUCCAAAACUAUUGGUCUAGAGUUCGAGAGAGGUGAGUGGAAUUCCAAGUGUAGAGGUGAAAUUCGUAGAUAUUUGGAGGAACACCAGUGGCGAAGGCGGCUCACUGGCUCGAUACUGACGCUGAGGUGCGAAAAGUGUGGGGAGCAAAACAGGAUUAGAUACCCUGGUAGUCCACACCGUAAAACGAUGAAUGCCAGUCGUCGGGUAGCAUGCUAUUCGGUGACACACCUAACGGAUUAAGCAUUCC